GUUAAAAUAUACACCUAUGUCGGGACUAAGCUUGAGAGUGUUGAAACUUUAAAAACCUGAAAAUUAAUUUGAAGUUUACCAUGAAAUUAUAAAUUAGAAGAAAUCUAGUUUGAUUCUUUGAAUUCUAUGCUAAUUAUGUCUAUAAAUAAGAGCAAGGAGAAGCUGAAGAAGUAAUAAGGUCAAUUGUGGUUGGCAGAAUGAAAGGCUUUAGCAUGGUAUGCCUUGUGUUGGCUACGAUUGUAGUCCUCUCCUCCUCAUCAACUGUUGAUGCUCGAAGAUUACUUGGAACAUCCCAGCCCCACGACUAUCACUGCAGGCAAACAGAAAAUCCAGGGCAAAUUGGACAACAAUCGCGUAGUCCGUGCGAGAAAUCUACUGAAGUCCCCGCGCCUUGUACAGUUAAGGGUUGCUAGAGCAACACUACUUGAAAAUUAGAAUCUCCUGAUGCUUACUCCGUAAAAGUAAAACAAUCAUACAAUGGAAAGAAAGUUCUUAAUGUGAUGUUUGUUCAGUUUUUAUAAACAUGUUAUUGAUUAAUUUGCAAGCCUUGUCUACAGCAACAGUAUCAUGUAAUCCUUUUGCUGGAGGUUACAUAGUUAAUACUACAAAAUUGUUAUCUUUGGCAUAUGCUGAAAGGGUAGGUUUUCUGCUUGCUCGUUUCAGAGUUUACUCCCUAGUAUAAUUCUUAUUUGAAAUGAA